GUGGUUAUAAUUACUUUAUUUGGCCUGCCGCCUCGUUGGAGCGCGGAGGAUGGAUAACAAAGUUUAAGGGCGCAAGGAGGCAGAGCUGAGCAUGAAUGAGAUGGCUAUCCUGUCAUCAACUGCAUCCAAGUUCCGCUGAACAUCGGUCUCAACGUUCAAUCUGUAAUAUUUAGGUGUCCUGCUAGUCAAAAUAAAGCUUUCAUUUGACAUAUAC